rnacentral:rRNA from 1 species
AGAGUUUGAUCAUGGCUCAGAGCGAACGCUGGCGGCGUACCUAACACAUGCAAGUCGAACGAGGAUCACAGGGUUAGCAAUAACUCCGUGGUUCUAGUGGCGCACGGGUGAGUAACACGUGGGUAACCUGCCCUUGAGCUCGGGAUACCCCCUCGAAAGGGGGGCUAAUACCGGAUACGUUCCCUGGAUCGAAAGGUCUGGGGAGGAAAGGUGGCGAAAGCUGCCGCUCUUGGAGGGGCUCGCGGCCUAUCAGCUAGUUGGCGGGGUAACGGCCCACCAAGGCUAUGACGGGUAGCUGGUCUGAGAGGACGACCAGCCACACGGGGACUGAGACACGGCCCCGACUCCUACGGGAGGCAGCAGUGGGGAAUUUUCCGCAAUGGGCGAAAGCCUGACGGAGUGACGCCGCGUGUGGGACGAAGGCCUUCGGGUCGUAAACCACUGUCAGUGGGAAAGAUGGGUGUCGGCGCGAUAACCGUCGGCACUUGACGGUACCUGCAGAGGAAGCCCCGGCUAACUCUGUGCCAGCAGCCGCGGUAAGACAGAGGGGGCAAGCGUUGCUCGGAAUUACUGGGCGUAAAGGGCGCGUAGGCGGGAUGGCAAGUCGGUCGUGAAAUCCCUCGGCUCAACUGAGGAUCGUCGAUCGAUACUGCCGUUCUUGAGGAUUGCAGAGGAGACUGGAAUUCCCGGUGUAGCGGUGAAAUGUGUAGAGAUCGGGAGGAACACCGGUGGCGAAGGCGGGUCUCUGGGCAAUUCCUGACGCUGAGGCGCGAAAGCGUGGGGAGCAAACGGGAUUAGAUACCCCCGUAGUCC